UACGUAGGGUGCAAGCGUUGUCCGGAAUUAUUGGGCGUAAAGAGCUCGUAGGCGGUCUGUCGCGUCUGCUGUGAAAACUCAGGGCUUAACCCUGAGCUUGCAGUGGGUACGGGCAGACUAGAGUGCGGUAGGGGAGACUGGAAUUCCUGGUGUAGCGGUGAAAUGCGCAGAUAUCAGGAGGAACACCGGUGGCGAAGGCGGGUCUCUGGGCCGUAACUGACACUGAGGGACGAAAGCUAGGGGAGCGAAUGGG
rnacentral:rRNA from 1 species